rnacentral:rRNA from 1 species
GAUGAACGCUGGCGGCGUGCCUAAUACAUGCAAGUAGAACGCUGAAGGAAGGAGCUUGCUCUUUCCGGAUGAGUUGCGAACGGGUGAGUAACGCGUAGGUAACCUGCCUGGUAGCGGGGGAUAACUAUUGGAAACGAUAGCUAAUACCGCAUAACAGUAGAUGUUGCAUGAUAUCUACUUAAAAGGUGCAAUUGCACCACUACCAGAUGGACCUGCGUUGUAUAGCUAGUUGGUGAGGUAACGGCUCACCAAGGCGACGAUACAUAGCCGACCUGAGAGGGUGAUCGGCCACACUGGGACUGAGACACGGCCCAGACUCCUACGGGAGGCAGCAGUAGGGAAUCUUCGGCAAUGGACGGAAGUCUGACCGAGCAACGCCGCGUGAGUGAAGAAGGUUUUCGGAUCGUAAAGCUCUGUUGUAAGAGAAGAACGAGUGUGAGAGUGGAAAGUUCACACUGUGACGGUAUCUUACCAGAAAGGGACGGCUAACUACGUG